GAAGCUGACCAGACAGUCGCCGCUUCGUCGUCGUCCUUUCGGGGAGACGGGCGGAGGGGAGGAAAGUCCGGGCUCCAUAGGGCAGGGUGCCAGGUAACGCCUGGGGGGGGAAACCCACGACCAGUGCAACAGAGAGCAGACCGCCGAUGGCCCACGUAAGUGGGAUCAGGUAAGGGUGAAAGGGUGCGGUAAGAGCGCACCGCGCGGCUGGUAACAGUCCGUGGCACGGUAAACUCCACCCGGAGCAAGGCCAAAUAGGGGUUCAUAAGGUACGGCCCGUACUGAACCCGGGUAGGCUGCUUGAGCCAGUGAGCGAUUGCUGGCCUAGAUGAAUGACUGUCCACGACAGAACCCGGCUUAUCGGUCAGUUUCACUU
rnacentral:RNase_P_RNA from 2 species